GUUCGCGCUGGCCUCCCACUUCUUCUGGGGGCUCUGGUCCAUCCUGCAGGCCAAGAUCUCCACCAUCAAGUUCGGGUACCUGGACUACGCGCAGAGCCGCUUCGACGCCUACUUCCAGCUGAAGGCGCGGUGCCCGUGAGCCGCGGGCGGCCCCGCC